UACGGAGGUCUCAAGCGUUGUUCGGAUUCAUUGGGCGUAAAGGGUGCGUAGGCGGCGCGGUAAGUCGGGUGUGAAAUCUUGGAGCUUAACUCCGAAACUGCAUUCGAUACUGCCGUGCUUGAGGACUGGAGAGGAGACUGGAAUUUACGGUGUAGCGGUGAAAUGCGUAGAUAUCGUAAGGAAGACCAGUGGCGAAGGCGGGUCUCUGGACAGUUCCUGACACUGAGACACGAAGGCCAGGGGAGCAAACGGG
rnacentral:rRNA from 1 species